UACGUAGGGUGCAAGCGUUGUCCGGAAUUAUUGGGCGUAAAGAGCUCGUAGGCGGUUUGUCGCGUCGAAUGUGAAAACCCGGGGCUCAACCCCGGGCCUGCAUUCGAUACGGGCAGACUAGAGUUCGGUAGGGGAGUCUGGAAUUCCUGGUGUAGCGGUGAAAUGCGCAGAUAUCAGGAGGAACACCGGUGGCGAAGGCGGUCUGCUGGGCAGUUGCUGACGCUGAUGCGCGACAGCGUGGGGAGCAAACAGG
rnacentral:rRNA from 1 species